AGAGUCCUGAUGUGUUAGUUGAAUCAGCAGAUGUUUUGACCUAACAUUUUAACUUCGGGAGUUUGGAGUUUUCAGGUUGCGUACACGCCUCUUUUUAGGGGACUUACAUAGGCUUGGGACAGAACACCCACCUGCAGAGAGCAGGAUCAAAACUAAGCAAUAAGCGACGGCACGAUUGGGACUUUU
rnacentral:other from 1 species